CGUGCCGGGUUCAGCCAGGUUUGCUCCGGAGAGCAGCAGUGCUAAUGGGCUAAGAAAAACCAGCCCUGUGUCUUCCUGGGAUGAGCCAAAGGCAGCAGCAGCCUCUUCCUCCAGCCCCGAGCCAGG